AGACCCGAAACCCGGUGAUCUAGCCAUGGGCAGGUUGAAGGUUGGGUAACACUAACUGGAGGACCGAACCGACUAAUGUUGAAAAAUUAGCGGAUGACCUGUGGCUGGGGGUGAAAGGCCAAUCAAACCGGGAGAUAGCUGGUUCUCCCCGAAAGCUAUUUAGGUAGCGCCUCGUGAAUUCAUCUCCGGGGGUAGAGCACUGUUUCGGCUAGGGGGCCAUCCCGGCUUACCAACCCGAUGCAAACUGCGAAUACCGGAGAAUGUUAUCACGGGAGACACACGGCGGGUGCUAACGUCCGUCGUGAAGAGGGAAACAACCCAGACCGCCAGCUAAGGUCCCAAAGUCAUGGUUAAGUGGGAAACGAUGUGGGAAGGCCCAGACAGCCAGGAUGUUGGCUUAGAAGCAGCCAUCAUUUAAAGAAAGCGUAAUAGCUCACUGGUCGAGUCGGCCUGCGCGGAAGAUGUAACGGGGCUAAACCAUGCACCGAAGCUGCGGCAGCGAACGUAUCACCCAAGACAACUUUACGGAGUUGACGAUUGACGGAGCGAAGCGACGUCAAAGCGUUCAUUAAAGUCGAGUUGGCUUAGGGAUACGUUCGUUGGGUAGGGGAGCGUUCUGUAAGCCUGUGAAGGUGUGUCGUGAGGCAUGCUGGAGGUAUCAGAAGUGCGAAUGCUGACAUAAGUAACGAUAAAGCGGGUGAAAAGCCCGCUCGCCGGAAGACCAAGGGUUCCUGUCCAACGUUAAUCGGGGCAGGGUGAGUCGACCCCUAAGGCGAGGCCGAAAGGCGUAGUCGAUGGGAAACGGGUUAAUAUUCCCGUACUUGGUGUUACUGCGAAGGGGGGACGGAGAAGGCUAUGUUGGCCGGGCGACGGUUGUCCCGGUUUAAGGGUGUAGGUGUGUGUUCCAGGUAAAUCCGGUUCACUUUA
rnacentral:rRNA from 1 species